AUUGAACGCUAGCGGGAUGCUUUACACAUGCAAGUCGAACGAGUGGCGGACGGGUGAGUAAUAUAUCGGAACGUGCCCCGUAGCGGGGGAUAACUACUCGAAUGAGUGGCUAAUACCGCAUACUAUUUGAGCGGCCGAUCUCGGAUUGGCCAGUUGGGGGGGUAAAGGCGCACCAAGGCCACGAACUGUAGCUGAUUUAAGGGGACGACCAGCCACACUGGGACUGGGACACGGCCCAGACGCCUACGGGAGGCAGCAGUGGGGAAUGUUGGACAAUGGGGGAAACCCUGAUCCAGCCAUCCCGCGUGUAUGAGAAGGCCUUCGGGUUGUAAAGUACUUUUGGCAGAGAAGCGGUAUCUGCAGAAUAAGCACCGGCUAACUACGUGCCAGCAGCCGCGGUAAUUC
rnacentral:rRNA from 1 species